GUUCAGAUUGAGUUUUUCAUUACUCCCUGUCUAAAUUUAAGUAGUUAUAGAAGUAAAAUUGAAUAUAUUUCCAGUGUUUUUGUUCACAAAAUUGAAAAAGGUUCCAAUAUUUGGAGAAUGAUUUUUUUAUAUCAUAAAAUCAGAAGAGUAGGGACUCAUUAACGAAUGCAUUUCUCAAAAAAUCACAAACCACUUUUCUCUAGAAAAAAAUAAUCUGAUCUACGACGUCGUGUACCGUCCUAAGAACCUCAAAUCAAAAUUUCCCUUUCGAACUGCACAAAGCAUUAUGCCAUCCUGAGGUAACUGAAAAGUUCCAGUAGACGAGAUGUACUGUUGAAGAAGUGGAUGUAAAUAGUUAAUAUGACCUUAUUCGUAGUUAAUAUGAGCGGCGCCCAAAAUACCUCUCGUGGAAAUCAAUCGAUUUUUAGUCAUCAUUGACCAGAGUCGGCGAAUGUCGUGGCCUAUAAUUCAAACCACAAGAACGGAUACCGAAGCGAAGACCUAUCAGAGAUCAAAAAUAAACUGCGAUGUCAACGUUCUUCUACGCCUGAAGAAGCAGUUGACGCUGUUUGCUGGUCCUCUAUCGGAAUUAGAAAAUUGCUUCGACGAUUUGUUCAAACACAUGCAAAAGAGAAUUUAUCUUAAUGGAGAAUAUUUUUAAAAACA